rnacentral:misc_RNA from 1 species
UGACACAUGAGAGAGUGACUAAGCUCU